GACGUAGGGGACGAGCGUUGUUCGGAUUCAUUGGGCGUAAAGGGUGCGUAGGCGGCGCGGUAAGUCGGAUGUGAAAUCUCGGAGCUUAACUUCGAAACUGCAUUCGAUACUGCCGUGCUUGAGGACUGGAGAGGAGACUGGAAUUUACGGUGUAGCGGUGAAAUGCGUAGAUAUCAGGAGGAACACCAAUGGCGAAGGCAGCUCGCUGGAACGGUACUGACGCUGAGGCGCGAAAGCGUGGGGAGCGAACAGG
rnacentral:rRNA from 1 species